GAACGCGCAUCGCAGAACAGAGCAUGGCGAACAUUUCUGUUUAUAAACCAUAUACUUUUUUUAAAUGACUGAUCGUUUCGCUAGAUAAUACCUUUAUUCAUCGUCUGGUAUCGUUUAAAGCCCUUUAAAGCUGAACUGAAACUGUCACUAUAUGGAGAAAAAUCUGGAAAUGUUUUCACCAAAAACCUUCAUUUCUUUUCGACUAAAGAAACAAAUACAUUAACAACUUGGAUGACAUGGGGAUCUCCAAUAACAUGGUUGUCCGAGUGUUGAGUGCGGUUGACCCCAAGUAUUCCGAAAACCACAAACACCAUGGCUCCAGUGUCCACUAGAGGACGCACUGCUGGUUUCCCACAACCACCUCCACCGCAAGGGUUAAAUCCCGAUGUCCUGGAGACCUUUACCUGAGUAGUGACUGAUGAGAUCAAAAUGAUGUAUUACAUAGUAAUGAAAGAGUGAUGAAAGACAAGAACCGAGAAAACAUAAUGUUGCUAAAUGAGAACGUAUACAAGGAACAUUGCUUGAGGGUAUUUUGGAAUGAAGCAUGUUUUAAAUGAUCAUUUCGUGCAGCAGUGUGAUGUUUGUCGCUUUAUACCACGGCAACUAUUUAAAAAAAAGUUUUUGUCUAAUUCAGGUUUAAUUACUAUACAUGUUGUUCUCAUGCCCCCAUAUUAAUUGACUAUAUUAAGUUGUACUUGGUAACACAGACUAUACAUAAAAUGAACAAGUGAAGCAAAAAGCUUGAUUUAAAGGCAAACACGACAGAGAUACAGUAACCAUUAUAACUAUAUGCAUCCAUUUGGAGUUUACCUAAAAAUGUGAAUUUGGUCAAUAUUUACCCUUAUGCCAUUCCAAACUCAUAUGACUUGUUCUUCCAUGCAAAAAUAUUAGGAAUAAUGUAUUUUUCGAAUAUUUUGAAAAUCAAUGAAUGUUCUAAUGACUUCCAUUGUAUUCUUCAAAGUAUUAUUACAUUUUACAUUUGGCAGACGCUUUUAUCCAAAGUGACUUACAUUGCUUUAUCCUAUACAUUUCACAUAGGUAUUUGCAAUCCCCUGGGAUCGAACCCACAACCUUGUCAACGCAAUGCUCUUACCACUGAGCUACAGGAAAGCUGUAUAAAUUAUAAAUUUGGGGUACACUAUCCCUUAAACCAUAAAUAAAUGUUGAAUAAAAACCUA